GACCGGAUCGGAUAGUGGUUAUUCCGUUGCUUUGCUAGUUCGAGAUUCGAAAGGCAAUGCCGUGAGGCUCGUGAGUUCGAAUCUCACUUCGGUCG
rnacentral:tRNA from 3 species